rnacentral:rRNA from 1 species
AGUGAACGCUGGCGGUAGGCCUAACACAUGCAAGUCGAACGGCAGCACAGUAAGAGCUUGCUCUUACGGGUGGCGAGUGGCGGACGGGUGAGGAAUACAUCGGAAUCUACUUUUUCGUGGGGGAUAACGUAGGGAAACUUACGCUAAUACCGCAUACGACCUACGGGUGAAAGCAGGGGAUCUUCGGACCUUGCGCGAUUGAACGAGCCGAUGUCGGAUUAGCUAGUUGGCGGGGUAAAGGCCCACCAAGGCGACGAUCCGUAGCUGGUCUGAGAGGAUGAUCAGCCACACUGGAAGUGGGACAGGGUCCAGACUCCUACGGGACGCAGCAGUGGGGAAUAUUGGACCAUGGGCGCAAGCCUGGUCCAGCCAUACCGCGUGGGUGAAGAAGGCCUUCGGGUUGUAAAGCCCUUUUGUUGGGAAAGAAACGCAGCAGGUUAAUACCCCGCUGUUCUGACGGUACCCAAAGAAUAAGCACCGGCUAACUUCGUG